GACGAACGCUGGCGGCGUGCUUAACACAUGCAAGUCGAACGGAAAGGCCCUGCUUUUGUGGGGUGCUCGAGUGGCGAACGGGUGAGUAACACGUGAGUAACCUGCCCUUGACUUUGGGAUAACUUCAGGAAACUGGGGCUAAUACCGGAUAGGAGCUCCUGCUGCAUGGUGGGGGUUGGAAAGUUUCGGCGGUUGGGGAUGGACUCGCGGCUUAUCAGCUUGUUGGUGGGGUAGUGGCUUACCAAGGCUUUGACGGGUAGCCGGCCUGGGAGGGUGACCGGCCACAUUGGGACUGAGAUACGGCCCAGACUCCUACGGGAGGCAGCAGUGGGGAAUCUUGCACAAUGGGCGGAAGCCUGAUGCAGCAACGCCGCGUGCGGGAUGACGGCCUUCGGGCUGUAAACCGCUUUCGCCUGUGACGAAGCGUGAGUGACGGUAAUGGGUAAAGAAGCACCGGCUAACUACGUG
rnacentral:rRNA from 1 species